rnacentral:misc_RNA from 1 species
GAUGAAGAACGUAGCGAAAUGCGAUACGUAAUGUGAAUUGCAAAUUCAGUGAAUCAUCGAGUCUUUGAACGCACAUUGCGCCCCCUGGUAUUCCGGGGGGCGUGCCUGUCCGAGCGUCAUUGCUGCCCUCAAGCACGGCUUGUGUGUUGGGCCCCGUCCUCCGAUCCCGGGGGACGGGCCCGAAAGGCAGCGGCGGCACCGCGUCCGGUCCUCGAGCGUAUGGGGCUUUGUCACCCGCUCUGUAGGCCCGGCCGGCGCUUGCCGAUCAACCCAAAUUUUUUAUCCAGGUUGACCUCGGAUCAGGUAGGGAUACCCGCUGAACUUAAGCAUAUCAAUAAGCGGAGGA